rnacentral:lncRNA from 1 species
CUUGAUUUGGAUCCAUUGCUAAUGAGCUAGUGUGAUCUUUUGGGGGUGUUAAAGAACCUUGUUUUGCCAUAUUACCAAAAUUGUUUUUCUGGUUCCUUCUCAUUUGGGUAGACUACAUCAGAGAUCCAGUGUUCAAGGGCUAUUGUUCAGAUUCUUUUGUCCCAUAGGGUAUUACCUGGAUGUGGGUGCUCAGGGAUGAGGCUUCAUGAGAGCCAAACUGUAGAGGUUGUUACUUCUCUUCUGGAUCUAGCUGCCCAGCAGAGCUACCAGGCUCCAGGCUGCUACUGGGGAGUGUCUGCAAAGAGUCCUGUGAUGUGAUCCAUCUUCAGUUUUCUCAGCCCUGGAUACCAGCACCUGCUCUGGUAGAGAUAGCAGGGGAAGGCAAUUAGGAAAAGGAAAUAGUAAAAAGGAAACAGAAAGAUGGCAUCUGGAAAAAUGAAGACAUUUGUUCCAGCAUACUGUCAUGGACCGCUAAAGCUGACCCUGGUGGU